GAUGAAGAACGUAGCGAAAUGCGAUAAGUAAUGUGAAUUGCAGAAUUCCGUGAAUCAUCGAAUCUUUGAACGCACAUUGCGCCCCCUGGCAUUCCGGGGGGCAUGCCUGUCCGAGCGUCAUUUCUGCCCUCAAGCACGGCUUGUGUGUUGGGUGUGGUCCCCCCGGGGACCUGCCCGAAAGGCAGCGGCGACGUCCGUCUGGUCCUCGAGCGUAUGGGGCUCUGUCACUCGCUCGGGAAGGACCUGCGGGGGUUGGUCACCACUAUAUUUUACCACGGUUGACCUCGGAUCAGGUAGGAGUUACCCGCUGAACUUAAGCAUAUCAAUAAGCGGAGG
rnacentral:misc_RNA from 1 species